rnacentral:lncRNA from 1 species
CAGAGCAUAUUACCUCAACAAACAUCUGAAUCUUCAUAUUCUCACUCCUAGUAAGAACUGCCACUUCUGAACGUGGUGUUUGAAUAACAAGAUUCAUGGUUCCAACCCUCUUAAAUGAUAUCACAAUCAGGUUACCCCAUUAUUGACUGCUAACAUCCAGGAGACUUGUCUUCCAACACACCAUAAUACUUCAGGGAACAACUAU